CUUGUUCAUGCUUCCCUUUGUGUUUUUGUAUACCAAAUACUUAGCAGUCAAUAAACUUGUGAGGAUGAUGAAAACUGGAAAAAAAACAGUGAGAAAAACAGAAAGAAAGGAUCGCAGAUCAAACAUGACUGAGAAAUGAGACACAAUUUAUGCUCGCCUCCGACUCGGUUCUGUUCGUGCUUUUGUGGGUAUGGAGUUGCUGUGGACCGGAAGAGAGCGAAGAAAGCUCAUCUAGGGCGGGGGUGGCAAGGGGAGUAUGUGGCAGAGGGAACAAGGCCAGAAACCCACAGGCUAAUUUAUGGGGAAGAUAGAGGAUGCUCAGCGUAGUGGAUCUUCUGAAAUGUAAAUGGCAGUGGGAUAAAUAAGUAUAUAUUUGAGGCUGCAAAAAGACAGCCUCUGAAGCUAAUGACAACAUAAUGAUCAAAGAUAUCAGCGUGGUCUGAAAAGCUAACAGCCUAUGUCUCGAUAGUGACAGCCUCUCCCAUUGCCGCCGAGAAGCUCCAGAAUUAAUCUUGACAAAAUUGUGGUAAAAAAUUGAUUAAAGUAUAAAAUGACUCUGCUUGCUUUCUCUUUCUUAUUUUAUUCCACUUUCCAGGUUGAACAAAAAAGCCUCAUAUACAAAUCCCCAAUUCACAUAGGAACUGGGAAUGCGAGUAACGUCUUCACUUCUGUGAGCCUGUUAUUAGGACGCCACGCCUGGAUCCACGUCUUUGAUGUGUCCACUGAAGAGCUGCAACCAGGUCAUAAAAUAGGUCAAUUUUUAAAAUAUAUGUCUUAUAGGUCAGAUGUAUUUUAAAAUGGCAAAAUUGAGGUCAGAUGCAUGAGUCAUUGUGCAUUUUUUUACUUUUGAAUUCUGCCUCUAAGAACGAGGCAAUCUAUAUCUCAAAUCAAAUUUAUUUGCAUAGGGAAGUUCAGGUUCUUGUCUACUCCCUCCUCAUUCUCCAUUUGUGAACAUGCAACUAUGAAGUUAAAUUCCCUUUCCUUAAUAUUUUUCUAGGGUAAAUACUGUCACGUUGUAAGUUUCUUUAUUUAUGUCAUUCAUUAAAUUAGCCAGUUCCGUGUGUCAGACAUGGGGUUAGUCACCUACGGCAUCAGCUAGGGUCCCCAAAGACACAGUAGGCUCUGCCAAGGAGUAAGG
rnacentral:lncRNA from 1 species